rnacentral:rRNA from 1 species
AUACGGAGGGUCCGAGCGUUAAUCGGAAUUACUGGGCGUAAAGCGCGCGUAGGCGGCUAUAUAAGUCAGAUGUGAAAUCCCCGGGCUCAACCUAGGAACUGCAUUUGAAACUGUAUGGCUAGAGUAUGGUAGAGGUGAGUGGAAUUUCAGGUGUAGCGGUGAAAUGCGUAGAGAUCUGAAGGAACAUCAGUGGCGAAGGCGACUCACUGGGCCAUUACUGACGCUGAGGUGCGAAAGCGUGGGUAGCAAACAGGAUUAGAAACCCUAGUAGUCC